GGGGAUGUAGCUCAGCAGUAGAGAGCAUGCUUUGCAUGUAUGAGGUCCUGGGUUCAAGCCCUAGUGU
rnacentral:tRNA from 1 species